rnacentral:rRNA from 1 species
AGGUUGGGUAACACUAACUGGAGGACCGAACCGACUAAUGUUGAAAAAUUAGCGGAUGACUUGUGGAUGGGGGUGAAAGGCCAAUCAAACCGGGAGAUAGCUGGUUCUCCCCGAAAGCUAUUUAGGUAGCGCCUCGUGAACUCAUCUUCGGGGGUAGAGCACUGUUUCGACUAGGGGGUCAUCCCGACUUACCAACUCGAUGCAAACUGCGAAUACCGAAGAAUGUUAUCACGGGGAGACACACGGCGGGUGCUAACGUCCGUCGUGAAGAGGGAACAACCCAGACCGCCAGCUAAGGUCCCAAAGUCAUGGUUAAGUGGGAAACGAAGUGGGAAGGCUCAGACAGCCAGGAUGUUGGCUUAGAAGCAGCCAUCAUUUAAAGAAAGCGUAAUAGCUCGACUGGUCGAGUCGGCCGCGCGGAAGAUGUAA